CCUACGGGGGGCUGCAGUGGGGAAUAUUGGACAAUGGGCGAAAGCCUGAUCCAGCCAUGCCGCGUGUGUGAAGAAGGCCUUCGGGUUGUAAAGCACUUUCAGUGGGGAAGAAAGCCUUGGGGCUAAUACCCUCGAGGAAGGACAUCACCCACAGAAGAAGCACCGGCUAACUCCGUGCCAGCAGCCGCGGUAAUACGGAGGGUGCGAGCGUUAAUCGGAAUUACUGGGCGUAAAGCGCGCGUAGGCGGUCUGAUAAGCCGGUUGUGAAAGCCCCGGGCUCAACCUGGGAACGGCAUCCGGAACUGUCAGGCUAGAGAGCAGGAGAGGAAGGUAGAAUUCCCGGUGUAGCGGUGAAAUGCGUAGAGAUCGGGAGGAAUACCAGUGGCGAAGGCGGCCUACUGGACUGACACUGACGCUGAGGUGCGAAAGCGUGGGUAGCAAACAGGAUUAGAUACCCGAGUAGUC
rnacentral:rRNA from 1 species